AGCCCAGCGCCAAGUCCUGACACUUGACGUGUUCAGGAGAUGCGGCGUUAGUGUAGUGGUGCAUCGCACGCUGCUUCGUGUCUCAAGUUCCUUUGACAGGGACUCCCAGAGUGGGUGCUAGGCCCAUAGAGGCUGCGGAGCUGGCGUGCGCAAACCAUUGCAUUCUAGAGUCAGGUUGCUUGAGAGUGCAGCCUAAAGCAGGUGGUAAACUCCAUCUAAGGCUAAAUAUUACAGCGAGACCGAUAGCAAACAAGUACUGUGAAGGAAAGUUGCAAAGAACUUUGAAGAGAGAGUUCAAUAGGACGUGAAACCACGGACAGGCAAACGGGUGGAACCACGAAGUGUGCUCCGCUAGACGAUUCAAUUGUUGCCGUCGGUUGGCGGUUAGCGUGCGGGGCGCGUUUCUGCGUCUCGCCGCGCGCCGUCUACAAUCGGCGGCCGACGAUGCAUUUCGUUCUGGCGGUGCGAAAGCCACGUCCGAUUAGGUGGCUGGAGCGGCCGUAGUGUGUCGGUUCGAGGAAGGUGGCCGUCGUCGUGGCUUGUCCACGUGCGGCGGUGUUAUAGCCUCGAAUUCGUGCCGCUGCCUAGCGUGCUGAUCGGUGCAAUAUCUCCGCGUACGGAGUUUUGCCAGUAACGGGCCGGUGCGCUUGUGGCGUCGUUGCGUUCGCGUCGGUUUGUUCUUUCGCGCCCUUGUGGUGCGUAAAGGCUGGCCGGCGUCGAACGUAUUCGGGCGUCACUGUGCGUGAUUCGGUUUGCGCAAACGGUGGUGCGAGUAGGUCGGUCUCCACCCGACCCGUCUUGAAACACGGACCAAGGAGCCUACCAUAUACGCGAGUCGCUCGGUCUUGAAUAGGCCCGGGAGGCGCAAUGAAAGUAACUGGCUACGAGGCUGCUUUCGCAGUCGCAGUAGCGGCCCACCUGCUUUCUUUAUCGGGAAUAUGGUGGCGUCGGAGCGUAUACGGUGGUACCCGAAAGAUGGUGAACUAUGCCUGGGCAAGACGAAGCCAGAGGAAACUCUGGUGGAGGUCUGUAGCGAUUCUGACGUGCAAAUCGAUCGUCAGACCUGGGUAUAGGGGCGAAAGACUAAUCGAACCAUCUAGUAGCUGGUUCCCUCCGAAGUUUCCCUCAGGAUAGCAGGCGCUUGUGUGAUCAGUCUCAUCCGGUAAAGCUAAUGAUUAGAGGUCUUGGGGCCGAAACGGCCUCAACCUAUUCUCAAACUUUAAAUGGGUGAGAUGCUUGACUUGCUUGAUUUUGAAGCCAAGCAAUUGGAUGUGAGUGCCUAGUGGGCCAGCUUUGGUAAGCAGAACUGGCGCUGUGGGAUGAACCAAACGUCGAGUUAAGGCAUCAAAUGCGUACGCUCAUGAGACCCCAUGAAAGGUGUUGGUUGCUAUAGACAGCAGGACGGUGGCCAUGGAAGUCGGAAUCC
rnacentral:rRNA from 1 species